CAUGGCAGAAGGAGAGUGCCCCAAAAAGCGAAAAUAUAAGACACAUUUUACGCCAGACUACAAGAAAGUGUACCCCUGUCUAAUAAGAGUGAAACAUAAUGACAGUCUUGCACGCUGUACAGUUUGUAACAGUGACUUCAGCAUUGCCCAUGGCGGGUUAAAUGAUUGUAAAAGACAUGUUGAGGUUGGGAGAGACAUAUCCAGCUGCAGAUCCGCAGCACCACUAGUUUCAGGACCCCAGUUUCAGAACCCCAGCGCCAGAACCUGAAGUGAGGGGCGGAGUUAUUGACAAUGAGACAAGCAUGGUGGAGAGCAUGAGACAUUUCGAAUGAAUGAAGACCACAAGGAAAAGGCCCGCAACAAUCUCCUGGAACAGUCAGAAGCUUCCAGAGAGCCCUUUCUAUUUCAUUUUGUGUUCAGGGAUGACAUGGAGUUAUUUUAGCAAGAAUGUAAGGACAAAAUGGGCCUGAGAGUGAAUUCCUCAUUUGAUACAUUUUAAGUUUAAUUUAUACAGGAUUGUCAUGAUAAAAUGGGCCUAGGGGUGAAU